rnacentral:rRNA from 1 species
UCGAAAGUCUAAGGUUUCCUGGGGAAGGUUCGUCCGCCCAGGGUAAGUCGGGACCUAAGGAGAGGCCGAGAAGGCGUAUCUGAUGGACAGCAGGUUGAAAUUCCUGCACUACCGAUACUUUAAAAAACGUCAAGGGACGCAGGAGAGGAAGGAAAGCGAGGAAGAGGAAAGACUCGUAUCGAAAGAUAUAGUGAAAAAAUGAAGUAACGAAUUUCCAAGAAUCACACUGACGAGAAAAGCUUGAUGACAUUAAGUAAAGGUACCCGUACCGCAAACCGACACAGGUAGAUGAGGAGAGGAUCCUAAGACGAACGGGAGAAGCAUUGUUAAGGAACUCGGCAAAAUGACCCCGUAACUUCGGGAGAAGGGGAACCUAGGUAAAACUAGGUCGCAGAGAAAAGGCCCAAGCAACUGUUUAACAAAAACACAGGUUUCUGCUAAAUCGAAAGAUGAAGUAUAGGAGCUGACGCCUGCCCAGUGCUGGAAGGUCAAGGGGAGAUGUUAGAAGAAAUUCGAAGCAUAGAACCAAAGCCCCAGUGAACGGCGGCCGUAACUAUAACGGUCCUAAGGUAGCGAAAUUCCUUGUCAGGUAAGUUCUGACCCGCACGAAAGGCGUAAUGAUUUGGGCACUGUCUCGACAAUGUACCCGGCGAAAUUGUAGUACUAGUGAAGAUGCUAGUUACCUGCGACAAGACAGAAAGACCCCAUGGAGCUUUACUGUAGUUUGAUAUUGGGUUUUGGUAAUUUAUGUACAGGAUAGGUGGGAGACAGAGAAGGAUGUGCGUCAGCAUAUCUGGAGUCAACGUUGGGAUACCACUCUUAAGUUAUUGAAAUUCUAACUUGUGAUCAUAAACUGGUCAGAGGACAAUGUCAGACGGGCAGUUUGACUGGGGCGGUCGCCUCCAAAAGAGUAACGGAGGCGCCCAAAGGUUCCCUCAGUGCGGACAGAAAUCGCACAAAAGAGUGUAAAGGCAGAAGGGAGCUUAACUGGAAGAUAGACAUAUCGAGCAGAUACGAAAGUAGGGCUUAGUGAUCCGGUGGAAUUGAAUGGAAAAGCCAUCGCUCAACGGACAAAAGUUACCCUGGGGAUAACAGGCUUAUCUCCCCCAAGAGUUCACAUCGACGGGGAGGUUUGGCACCUCGAUGUCGGCUCAUCGCAUCCUGGAGCUGAAGUCGGUUCCAAGGGUUGGGCUGUUCGCCCAUUAAAGCGGUACGCGAGCUGGGUUCAGAACGUCGUGAGACAGUUCGGUCC